GAUGAACGCUGGCGGCGUGCCUAAUACAUGAAAGUCGAGCGAACGGACGAGAAGCUUGCUUCUCUGAUGUUAGCGGCGGACGGGUGAGUAACACGUGGAUAACCUACCUAUAAGACUGGGAUAACUUCGGGAAACCGGAGCUAAUACCGGAUAAUAUUUUGAACCGCAUGGUUCAAAAGUGAAAGACGGUCUUGCUGUCACUUAUAGAUGGAUCCGCGCUGCAUUAGCUAGUUGGUAAGGUAACGGCUUACCAAGGCAACGAUGCAUAGCCGACCUGAGAGGGUGAUCGGCCACACUGGAACUGAGGCACGGUCCAGACUCCUACGGGAGGCAGCAGUAGGGAAUCUUCCGCAAAGGGCGAAAGCCUGACGGAGCAACGCCGCGUGAGUGAUGAAGGUCUUCGGAUCGUAAAACUCUGUUAUUAGGGAAGAACAUAUGUGUAAGUAACUGUGCACAUCUUGACGGUACCUAAUCAGAAAGCCACGGCUAACUACGUG
rnacentral:rRNA from 1 species